GUUACCAUAGCUUAAAGGUUAAAGCAAAGCACUGUUAAUGCUUCGAUAGAAGUUCAAUUCCUCUUGGUGACG
rnacentral:tRNA from 1 species